GGCAAUGGGAACAUCUUAUCAAGAGUCUAUGAAGAAGAAAAUUGAAGACAGGGUAGUCACACUUAACAGCACAGUGUUAUAAAUAACCCUUUUAACGAAGGUCACGUAAGAUUAAGAGGUGUCUGUCUAACUGACUUCACCACAGGUUUAAAACAUUUUCUCAUGAUUCGUCAGACUUCUUUUCAACGCCACAUAAGCAGAACAUUCAGCAGCGUGAGAGGAGUCGAGGCUUUCCAUGACUUACCGUAUGGAGAGCGGUCUUUCUUACAUUAUAUGUUUUUAUGGCUUGGAGCGAUCUACAACUCGCAACCAGAACAAAUAAGCUGGAAAAGGUCAAUAGGGAAAUGAAGUUUUAACAGAACACCAAAGUUUCUGUAUUCCUGUUGCCUGUAUUCGAGUUUGAAAGUUCAUCCAAAUGUUCUUUUAAAUCCAGCACGCAUUCCUUCGUCUUCAGUGACUACCGGAUCUCGGUCAGAGGUGGAUUUGGAGCCAAUCCCGACAACACCUGGCUCAAGGUGGGACAAUCCACCAGUUCUCCAGCACCUAUUGGUUGAAAUAAAUGAAUGAAUGAA